rnacentral:lncRNA from 1 species
CGUUCCUGGCUCUUUAAUUCUUCUCAUCUUGCAGCCUUUGGGAACUUCCCUUUAAGCAGGCCCCGCAAUGGGUAACGACUCCCUGGCGGACAGAGCGGCCGAACCCAAAGGCCAGGACAAACCGGACUCAGGCCAAAUCUCCUCCGCCCUGUUUAAUGACUGUGGGAAGGAGCCGCUGGUGGAUAAAGGAGGUCCAGGAAGACACCAGGAUGCUUCGAUCCAUCAUCGCCUGACACCGACUCGAGAGCCUUCUCUGUCCUCCAAUUACUCUCCAGCUUAUCCUCCAGAAACGUGGCACAGAGCAGGAAAGGAUCUUCUCUGCAACUGCCCAGAAGGCAUCCACCUGGUCUUGGCUUGAACAUCACUCGGGACGCGGAGCUCCCAACCCUCGGAGGGAAAGAGAAAGGAUCUGAUGAAGAUUUCCAGUCUACAUCCUGUUGUUCUGGUAGCUCCUGGCUGGGGAUGACCAAGCAAGACAGCAGAGAUAACCCUAAAAGCUGGACUGUCCCACAGGACAGAUGGGAGCAAAGAAAACCAAGGCGACACAGAGCCCCAAGGCACAGAGCAAGGAGAUGGGGGACUCAGGAGGGGAAAGAGCAAAGGACACUGUGGAGGGGGUGUGUCUGUGUGCAUGUGUGUUGGCAGCAAGGGCUGGAGGAGGGAUACCCUUUUUCUCAGUAAAUAUUUAACAGAGAAGGAAGCAUCUGGUUAUGUGGGUGGAGAUAACAAACUGGUUAAUCAUUUCCUAGGAACUAUUCCUAAAGGUUUCCAUGGGGUUGCUGGGAGCUGAUGCUAAUAGAAGAGGUCCAACCUGGGGUGGAUUGGGAGCAAGCCCUUGGCAGCCUCUUAUCUUUAUGCUAAGAGGGGAAAGAGGGAAUCUGGAAGGAUGCUGGGGGCCCUUUGGGGAAGGGUGGGAUUCCAGGUCUCGUGCCUUGGAAACAAUAUACAGUAUUAAAAAAAGAAUCCAUUAACCUGACUGGAAAUCUAAAACUCUGAGGAUGAGAGUAUGGUAGAGAGUAUUUGGAUGAGGAAAAAAAAUUAUGUUAUGGUGAAGUAUACUAUAGAUCACCAAGGCAGUGGGAGGAAAUGGAUGAUGAGCUCUUGACACAUCACAAAGCUGGCAUAGAGGUAGAGUUAUGAUAGGGGACUUCAUAUCUCUAAAAUAUAUUGAAUUUCUCUGCUAAAAGAACCACUCAUAGAGACUUAUGAGAAAGAUGCUCUCCACAUCCAGAGAAAGAACUGUGGGAGCAGAAACACAGAAGAAAAACAACUGCUUGAUCUCAUGGGUCCAUGAGGAUAUGAUAGGGGAUGUAGAUUCUAGAUGAUCCUCCUAGUGCAAAUGCCAAUAAUGUGGAAAUAGGUCUUGAUCAAUGACACAUGUUAAACCCAGUGGAAUUGUGUGUUGGCCACAGAAGGGGGUGGGAGGAGGGGAGAGAAAGAACAUGAAUCAUGUAACCAUGGAAAUUUUUUCUUAAUCAAUAAAAUUAAAUAAAAAAAUAAAACA